AUGGACACCUUGCGUAGCCUGGAGACGCUCGAGAUCGUGUGCUGUGGUGAUCUGAAGGAGAUCUUCCCAUUGGACCCUAAACGCCAAGAGAAGCAGGAGAUUAUAAACUUCCCCAGGCUAAGGAUGAUCCACCUGUAUGAGCUGCCCAUGUUGCAGCGCAUCUGUGGGAGAAAGAUGUCUGCGCCCAACCUGGAGACCGUCAAGAUCAGGGGCUGCUGGAGCCUCACGCAGCUGCCAGCUGUCAGGUGCAACUCCGCCAUGCGGCCCAAGGUGGACUGCGAGAAGGACUGGUGGGACAACCUGGAGUGGGUGCACUGGCGGGACUGCCAUUGGAGCAGGGUGGAGACGAAGCACGAUCCUUCGCUCUAUGAGCCAAGCCACUCGCGCUACUACAAGAAGGCCAACCUGCCAAGAGGCACAGUGCUCGGGUAA
rnacentral:rRNA from 1 species